rnacentral:rRNA from 2 species
UUGGAGGGCAAGUCUGGUGCCAGCAGCCGCGGUAAUUCCAGCUCCAAUAGCGUAUAUUAAAGUUGUUGCAGUUAAAAAGCUCGUAGUUGAAUUUCGGGGUUCUACCGUUGGUCGGGCUAACCAGUCUGUACUAGCGUGUAGAUUCCUACCUUCUGGGGAACCAUCAUGUUAUUAAUAGCGUGGUGGGAAACCAGGACCUUUACCUUGAAAAAAUUAGAGUGUUCAAAGCAGGCUUACGUCUGAAUACAUUAGCAUGGAAUAAUAAAAUAGGACGGUGGUCCUGUUGUUGGUUUCUGAAUACCGUAAUGAUUAAUAGGGAUAGUUGGGGGCAUUAGUAUUCAAUUGUCAGAGGUGAAAUUCUUGGAUUUAUUGAAGACUAACUUCUGCGAAAGCAUUUGCCAAGGAUGUUUUCAUUAAUCAAGAACGAAAGUUAGGGGAUCGAAGACGAUCAGAUACCGUCGUAGUCUUAACCAUAAACUAUGCCGACUAGGGAUCGGACGAUGUUAAAUUUUAUUGACUCGUUCGGCGCCUUACGGGAAAC